AGAGUGAACGCUGGCGGUAGGCCUAACACAUGCAAGUCGAACGGCAGCACAGUGGUAGCAAUACCAUGGGUGGCGAGUGGCGGACGGGUGAGGAAUACAUCGGAAUCUACCUUUUCGUGGGGGAUAACGUAGGGAAACUUACGCUAAUACCGCAUACGCCCUUUGGGGGAAAGCCGGGGAUCGCAAGACCUGGCGCGGAUAGAUGAGCCGAUGUCGGAUUAGCUAGUUGGUGAGGUAACGGCUCACCAAGGCGACGAUCCGUAGCUGGUCUGAGAGGAUGAUCAGCCACACUGGAACUGAGACACGGUCCAGACUCCUACGGGAGGCAGCAGUGGGGAAUAUUGGACAAUGGGCGCAAGCCUGAUCCAGCCAUACCGCGUGGGUGAAGAAGGCCUUCGGUGUAAAGCCCGUUUUGUAGGUAAAGAAAGCAAUACGGUUAAUACCCGGUUAGUUCUGGUCGGCACCCGAAAGAAUAAGCACCGGCUAACCUUCGCCGCCACGCAGCCGCGGUAAU
rnacentral:rRNA from 1 species